rnacentral:rRNA from 1 species
GACGAACGCUGGCGGCGUGCCUAAUACAUGCAAGUUGAGCGCUGAAGGUUGGUACUUGUACCAACUGGAUGAGCAGCGAACGGGUGAGUAACGCGUGGGGAAUCUGCCUUUGAGCGGGGGACAACAUUUGGAAACGAAUGCUAAUACCGCAUAAAAACUUUAAACACAAGUUUUAAGUUUGAAAGAUGCAAUUGCAUCACUCAAAGAUGAUCCCGCGUUGUAUUAGCUAGUUGGUGAGGUAAAGGCUCACCAAGACGAUGAUACAUAGCCGACCUGAGAGGGUGAUCGGCCACAUUGGGACUGAGACACGGCCCAAACUCCUACGGGAGGCAGCAGUAGGGAAUCUUCGGCAAUGGACGAAAGUCUGACCGAGCAACGCCGCGUGAGUGAAGAAGGUUGUCGGAUCGUAAAACUCUGUUGGUAGAGAAGAACGUUGGUGAGAGUGGAAAGCUCAUCAAGUGACGGUAACUACCCAGAAAGGGACGGCUAACUACGUG